rnacentral:rRNA from 1 species
GANCCNUGGCGGCAGGCCUAACACAUGCNAAGUCGAGCGGUAGAGAGAAGCUUGCUUCUCUUGAGAGCGGCGGACGGGUGAGUAAUGCCUAGGAAUCUGCCUGGUAGUGGGGGAUAACGUUCGGAAACGGACGCUAAUACCGCAUACGUCCUACGGGAGAAAGCAGGGGACCUUCGGGCCUUGCGCUAUCAGAUGAGCCUAGGUCGGAUUAGCUAGUUGGUGGGGUAAUGGCUCACCAAGGCGACGAUCCGUAACUGGUCUGAGAGGAUGAUCAGUCACACUGGAACUGANACACGGUCCAGACUCCUACNGGAGGCAGC